rnacentral:rRNA from 1 species
AAAUUGAAGAGUUUGAUCAUGGCUCAGAUUGAACGCUGGCGGCAGGCCUAACACAUGCAAGUCGAACGGUAACAGGAAACAGCUUGCUGUUUCGCUGACGAGUGGCGGACGGGUGAGUAAUGUCUGGGAAACUGCCUGAUGGA